CGUAGGGUGGAACCAUGGCAAUUAAACAGAAAUAAUAACAUUAUAACUCUAUGAUGCGAUUGAGGACAGGCUGCUCUGGAAUGCUCCAUAUUUCACACAGGCAUGCAUUUUUAAAGGUAGAAUCAUGAAAUUAAAGCAAAAUAUAUGGCAGCAGAUUUCAUCUGAACUUGGAAAGUAAACUAAGGAAGAGGAGGAGGAAGAGAAGCAGAUGAGGCAGGGGAGGAAUAAGAAGAGAGGUGGAGGAAGAAGAGGAGGAAGAAGAUAUCCCAGAAUACCACUAAGAGUUCACAUAGGGCAGCAAUUUGAAGCAGAUAUCAAGGUUCCUAAUUAAUCCAAAUAUUUGAACACUUUUGAUAGAAGCAAAAGCAGUGUUGAUCAUAGUGCUUUUGCUUCAAAAGACUGAAACAUCUACCAUUUCAGAAAUUGUUGAGAAUAAACACUUUUUUCAGUA